CGCAUACUUAUCUUUCUACACACCUUGCAGAUUAUGGCUUAUCCUCAUAAAACCAGUUCAGCUACUUUUAACAUUUACCACUCACCGAUUUCUUGUAUGAAAGUGGAACAAAUUAAAUCAUUUCCCUCGUCGCGUGAAGGUUCUGUGCUGCUAUCUACAUGUUACCGAGUGAACCGAACAUGCAUAUCCCUUCGCUCAGAUCUCUGGAAUACACUGCAUGUGGUACUGUGUAGCAGUUCGUAUUCGAAGCGCGCUGUUUGAAUCGACUUGGUAACAAAUUUGGAAGGUCAUUGUACCAGCUCUUAUAUUCAGAGUAAAUUGAGCCACAUAUCAGAAAAUGGGCUCUAAUCAAAUAGCUUCAGAAGAAAUAGUUCCGAACAGUAACAGUCAAAAAGCAACAUAAACUACCGACAAUAAAACAGCUGCCCAAGUUUGCAUACAAAAAAUAUCUACAUAGAUAGUUCGCAGACCAUUAUGAGGUACAUGGCACAGGGUACAUCUCAUUGCAACAUUUAUCGGACAUGCUUUACAAUCCACUCGCAUAUGGAACGCUGGAAAAAUGAUUGCUAAAAUGCCCGUGUGCACCCUGUAAUUGACCUAAUCAUGACUUCACACUCUCUAUUGGAGUAAUAUGUAGGGGACU